GGAAUGACUGGGCAUAAAGGGUAUGUAGACGGUGAAUCGAGUUGGAAAUGAAAGUUGCUAAAAAGUGGCGGAAUGCUCUCGAAACCAAUUCACUUGAGUGAGAUAGGGGAGAAUAGAAUUUCAUGUGCAGGGGUUUCUAUAGAUCUACGAAGGAAUGACAAAAGCGAAGGCAGCUCUGUGAGUCCUCCUUUCGCAAGAAAAGAGAAUUCCACUUUCAAUUAGCUUACCCCGAUCCGAUGCACC
rnacentral:ncRNA from 1 species